GAUCCUGCUCAGGAUGAACGCUAGCUACAGGCUUAACACAUGCAAGUCGAGGGGCAGCAUUUCAGUUUGCUUGCAAACUGGAGAUGGCGACCGGCGCACGGGUGAGUAACACGUAUCCAACCUGCCGAUAACUCGGGGAUAGCCUUUCGAAAGAAAGAUUAAUACCCGAUGGUAUAAUCAGACCGCAUGGUCUUGUUAUUAAAGAAUUUCGGUUAUCGAUGGGGAUGCGUUCCAUUAGGCAG
rnacentral:rRNA from 1 species